GGGCCGGUCUGACCGCAAGUAUGUGGGCGGUCAGACCGUCAAGGUCUGAGUCCGAGUUUGUUUUCAUCGGGUCUCGGGUUUCUUUGCCCGGGAAGGUAGGUUUUGUGUUUCCUUUGGUUUCUAUCCCGAGUUGGACGUGGAGAAGGGCCUGUAGAGGGCAAGACCAACCUCUAUUUAAGGGACAAGGCCGGUUCAUUGUAAAACCCCCAAAUACAAUUCACUUGAAUCGUUCUUUUACUAUGUUUUUUAUUUUACCCUAGUUUUAAUCCAUCUUUGUCGGUUUGCGCCGUAAACCGUCCGCCGCCGCUGCGAGAGUGCGACACCUCUUUGUAGAUUUGUCCUGAAAACCUUCCGUUUUGCCUAUGAGACAGGUUAGUUAUCCUCAUAUCGAUCUAAAUCGGCUUAGAGGCUGAUUUUUGAUCUCUAAAUCGGCUCCGCUAACCGGUUUAGCUGUUUUUCUACAAAACCUAUCUUGAUUUGGCCAUUUGGCUAGAUCGAGGUGGUUGGCGACUCCAUAUCACCGCAAGGCGUUUAGGUGCUGCGAUCGUAAUUGUCGACUUGUCACAAAAAGUUAUCAACACAAUUUUUGGCGACUCCGCUGGGGAACGAUCUAAUCGGCCAUACUAGGGCCGAAUUUCGUUUAAUCUAAUAAUUACUCUUUCGUCGAAUCAUCGAAUUAGUUUCGGCUAAACAGCCGGAAUUAACUUACACUGUAAUUAUUAUUGUCGCCGACAUUGGUUUUGUCUUCAAGCUUAAUUGUUCUGUUCGGUCACGGCUAGACGUUAAACUGUGUUCACACAGGGAGCAGCGGCCGGAUUAGCAACAUUGUUUCCUUUUUGCUUCACACGGCAACAGAAAGAUUUGAUUGAUCAAAGCUGGUACUGUGCACGUGCUAAAAAAAGAUCAGGCUAUCUAAGCCGAUCUACUUCUGUUCACAUAAAAACAACAAAAAAAAAAACAACAACAACAAAGCCGAUUCCUACUGUAUCGGUUAUUUCUGUGAAGGUUCAAUUUCUCCAAUCUUUUGCUAAGUACAGUAGCAUUACAAGGAAAACUAAGACUGUAUAUUAAUAUAUUCUGUCAACGAUUUUUGGCUAUGAGCUAUAUGGCCGGAUUUAAUCAAGGAAUUUCUUCAUCAACUAUAACGAGAGGGAACGGGUUCAAUAAUAUUACUACACAAUACAUUAGAACCGAUCAAGGCGUCGUGAAAGGAAACGUCCCGCUACCUCAAGUUGUAGCUUCACCAAAGGUAACCUCCGAUUCACCCAACCCAUACUUUGCUAUUCAAAAGGUUAAUAAUCAUUGUGUAGAUGCAUAUGCUACUUUUAGUUUUGCUCCUAUACAAUAUGCUUAUAAUGCUAUGGGGGUCAAUGGGUGAUUAUACAGCCGAUUAAAUAGGAAUCGGCUAUAUGGAAAACCUAGCUAAUGGUAUGACCGGUCGUGACACCGGUCUAACCGCACCUUAUGCCGGUCAGACCGUAUCUACUAUAGCCAGUCAAACCGUGCCCUAUUUUGGCCAGAUCGGGCCUCCUGUAGCCGGUCUGACCGCACCAUUGACCACCGAUCAGACCGGGCCAUGGGUCGGUCAGACCGGGUGAUUGGCCGGUCAGACCAGGCUAUCUAUAGCCGGUCAGACCGGUUCCCUGGGAAUUUCUCCAGGUUUUCAUACCACGACUAGCAGUAUUGAUUUUAAUUAUUAUUCAUCACCUGUUAAUACUGUUACCCAUGCUACUCCACAUAUCCCUAAUGUCUACAAUGAUACUAAUAGGGGAUAUCCUCCCGAUACUAGGCAAGACCAAUAUAAUCAUAUUGCGCCACAAACACAACCUAUUAGGCCACCAAAUCCACCACCAAAUCAAUAUAGGCCUGAUAAUAUGGAGGAAAUAAUUAGUGAGAUUAUUAGGGAGAAAUUCGGGAUUGAAAUUAGGAAUCAUGCUAAGAUUUACCAAAAGUCGUAUCCUAAUUAUUAUGAUAAUGUGCCAUAUCCUCGUGGUUAUAGAGUUCCCGAAUUUACCAAAUUUAGUGCUGAGGAUAGUUGGACCAUAUGGGAGCAUGUAGGUCAAUUUUUAGCGCAAUGUGGUGAGGCUAAUAGUGAUACUUUUAAAUUGCGCUUGUUUUCUUUAUCUUUGUCCGGUACUGCUUUUACAUGGUUUACUUCUUUACCGGCAAAUUCUAUUUAUACUUGGGCUCAAUUAGAACAAAAAUUUCAUGAUCAUUUUUGCACUGGUAACACUGAGCUUAGGUUGUCUGAUUUAACAUCGGUUAGGUAAAAAUACAAUGAAUCUAUCGCUGAUUAUAUUGAAAGGUUCAGAGAUAUUAAAAGCCGAUGUUUUAGUUUGAAAAUAAUUGACAAAGAUUUGGCCAACAUUGCAUAUGAUGGAUUGCUUGAUUCUAUUAAAAAGAGAUUGAAUGGCCAAAUAUUUCUUGAUGUUGAUCAUGUGUUGCAUGAAGCUUUGGCUCAGGAAAGCCGAGUGGAUGACAAUAGCUUACAAGCUAGUUUAGAUGAAAGUGUAAUAUCAUGUAUAGCCGAACCAAGCGAUGGUUCGGGUUGUGUUAAUAAUUUGUGCAAUGAUGUCGUGACAAGUAUAGCCGAAUCAAAUGUUGGUCCGAAUUGUCUUACUAGCUUGGAUGAUAAUGCAACAACCAUUAUAGCCAAACCAAGUGUUGGCUCGGAUUGUGUUACUAGUUUAGACAACGAUGGAAUAGCCGAACCAAGUAAUGGUUCGGAUUGUGUUGCUAGCUUAGAAAAUAGCAUCAUUGAAAAUAUAGCCGAACUAAGUGACGGUUCAGGUUAUAUCACAAGCGAAAGUGAAAUAGCAUUAUCACCUAAGACCGAGUCACAAAUCGGUCAUGUGGAUGUUGGAAAAGAUGAUGACAAUGUCUUGCGGGAUAGUGGUGAAAUAGAAUCCAAAGUAGCUAUGCAUACAUAUCAAAGACUGUAUCCUAAACACGUAGAUUCGGUCCCAUACCUGCAAGGAUUUGAGGUGCCCAACUUCACGAAAUUCACAGAUGAGAAUGCUAUGACUACAAUGGAGCAUAUCGGUCGCUUUAUUGAUCAAUGUGGUAAGGCCGGUAGUGAUGAUUUGCUUAAGUUGAAGUUGUUUCCCCUUUCUUUGUCAAACUUUGCAUCUACAUGGUAUAGUUUGCUUGCUCCUAGUUCAAUUUCUACAUGGUCACAAAUGGAGUAUGAGUUUCAUGAUUAUUUCAGAGAUGCAAGCUUGAUGGAGUAAAGACCGAAUGAUACUUCAUCGGUCACUUGUGAAACUAUUUCGGUUACACCUAUGCCUAAGACCGGAAUUGUUAAUAGUUCUCUCCCUACUAGUCCUAUUGGUGUUGACAAAAAGAAAGGGAAAAGUGUUGCUAUUGGGGAUCCUCGGCCCAAGAAUAGGAUCAAUAAUGCAAAGGCUGAAGAUCGUAAGGUUACAAAAGAUGAGUCAUCUAGUUCCCAAAAGACUAAAAAGCCGAAGCUCACUUUUGAGAUGCUUAUGGCUAAAUACAAGAAAGGAUUAGCUGGUCAACGAUUUGAUAACUAAACUAGUGAUUCGAAAAGACCAAGAUCAUCUCAUAGGAAGAGAUUUGGUCAAACAUCAAAGCAAUCGGAGCCAUCAACCAUACCAACUCCAUAUAAACCUCCGGUUGUGAUGCCAUGGUAUCCAUAUCCAAUGUCACUAUAUGGUUAUCCUUUUUUGUAUUAUAUGCCAUGGAUGCAUCAACCACCUAUGCCGUAUUGUCAAGGAUGGAAGGAAUCACCUAGGACAGUGCCAAAUCAUUCAUCUAAUUCAAGACAAGACUAUUUCCCACAAAAGAAUCGGUUCGGUGGAUCAAAGGUGAAAAAGGUGAAGAAGGUGUGGGUGAGGAAAGAAGCCAAAGCUCCGGGGGUCAUUGCUGUCAAAGAGGAGUCUCAAGAUGUUCAUGUACUUACUGGAGAUACGGUGGAAACCACGCAAGCAAAGGAGAUCGAAGCCGACGCCGUGACUAUCAACAUUGGUGGUCUAACCGAGACAGCUGGCCGGUCUAACCGCCAGUCUACGGCCGGUCUGACCGACCUUACUGGCCGGUCUGACUGACGGCUUGUGGCCGGUCUGACCGGGGAGCAUUGGAGAAGAGUGGGAAAAUUGAGAACAACAUAGGAUCUUCCACUUCGACCAAAAAUAUGAAGAAUCAUUGCUUAGCUCCUGGAAAACAACCACAGCCGAAGUGGAUACCUUCUGGCCUAUCUCGCUCUCAAAAGAGGAGGCUACAGCGUCUCCAGGCCAUAGGUCAAAAGGAAAAGGAGGCCGAAGAUGUGGAGAACAAAACAUAUAACAAUUUAGAUCCUCGAACGACACCUAAGCGAGUGUGGAGACCUAAAGAAGUAAAAGUUAAGAGACCGGUGAUUUCCCAUAGUAGUGAUAAAUCCAAUUUCAUGAGAGAAGAAUCAUCGGUCAUUAGAGAUAAGUCUCCUUCACAUGAUGCUGUGGAUGUUGGUGCGGUGUUCGUCUUGCCUUCGAAAUCGUGCAGUCGAGAAAGCCGAUUUUGCUUAGGGGGCAAGACAUUAUUAUGUUUAUGAGGGAACCAAGAGAAGAUGAACGGCGAUGGAUACAACAUCACAUCUUUGAGCCGCCGUUUGUUAGAUGCUAAGGCAAGGUAUGGGUUUAUUGUGUUCAAUGUUAUAUUAUACGCCUAUGCCAUGUUAGAACAUUGCUUGCUAUCUAGCACAUGUGUGUUUUUGCUUAUCAAAUUGAUAUUAUACAUACAUGUUGCGAAUGCCAGUUCUAGGUAGUAGAAUUGGUAGGUUGGCAUAUAAUUUGUUUGAAGUAUGACUUGGCUCAUGACUCUUUGAUAUUUAUUUAAAGCCAAAUCAUAUGUCUUUUUAUGGAUCACCAUAUAAGAUAUAGAUUUCAUAUUUAUUGCACCAUGAAAGUUUUGCCUAUUAGUAAUUCGGCUAAUGUCAAUGGUCAGUGUCAUGAUUUGUUCUAGAGUUAUUGUAUUUAGGAACAUUGGCAUUAUUAAUAUUUUGCAUACAUGCUCAAGCCGAUUACUUACAUUUUUAGUUUAUUGGAAUCUAUGCAUGUGGCACAUAUGACUUUGGUGAUUCAUUAUUGAUCAUACUUCAAUUGGCUAAGUGUUGUGAUGCCAUGAUGAUUAUUGUUUCAAAAGCCAAUUGAAUUAGUAUUCAUCUAGACAUAUUAGUUGAAUGUUAUAAUUUUUCAUAUAUCUAGAGAGAAGGAAUUUUGGUCCAAUAAUUUGAUACACCAAGCAUUUGGCUAUUAUGUGAAGAAAAAUUAUAUACUAAAGGCCGAUGCUUGAUUUCAAAAGUUUGGACGAAAUUGGCAAAGUCAUAGACCUAGGAUGGUCUAACCGGCAUUGCACGGCCGGUCUGACCGGCUCUACAUGGCCGGUCUGACCGGACAGACAGGGUGGUCUGACCGGCAUUGCGUGGCCGGUCUGACCGAUAGCGGGCCGAGAGCUGGGGGGCACGUUACAAUUGAUUAAAAGGCCGAAUUAAUUGUGAAUUCGGACAUUUGUGCCCAUGAGUUAGAAAUAGCUUGGAGAAUUCCUUCGAUUAGAUAUUUGAAGAUCCUACACUUAAGGUUGAUCAGAAGAUUCGGCGGCAAGCGCUCAAAUAUUAUAUCGCCGAAAAAUAGAUGGAGUAUUACUUAGAUAAUGAUCAGUUUAAAGUUGCUAGGAGAGUAGUACAUGAAGGGAUUUGUGAAAUUCAUCAAUCGGCCCGUAAGAUAAAUUGGUUGCUUAGGAGAGUGUGGUUUCAUUGGCCGAAAAUAAUUGAUGAUUGUUUCAAAUGUUAUAGAGGGAGUGAAGCUUGUUAACGGAUCGGCAAUGUUCAAUUAGCGCCUACCGCUGUGUUGAAUCCUAUCAUUAAAGUAUGGCCGUUCUGAGGUUGAGCUUUGGAUUUCAUUGGUCAAAUUUAUCCUUCGUCAUCAAAAGGGCGUUGGUUCGUGCUAGUUGCAAUGGAUUACUUCACUAAGUGGGCCGAAGCCGUGCCGCUCGAGAAUAUUACUUGUACGGAGUGAGAAGUUUUGCCGAAUCUUAUGCUAUUAAGUUGAUGAGUUCUUCUCUUUACUACGCUCAGGCUAAUGGAUAAGCCGAGUUGAGUAAUAAAACAUUGUUGAAAUUGUCGUUUUGCCAGUUGGGGUAAAUCUUGGCUCUCUUCGGUAUUUCAAGCAAGACGACUUGUCGGUUGAAGAUUACAAGACCUUGAUGGGAAACAAUUUUAAAGACGUCAUCGACAAGCGUUUAAAGACUUUGAAGGAGAUGAAGACACUUCAAGACGGUGUUUUCAGAGAGCAAUUAAUGGGAAAUACUUGAAGAAAUAUUUCCCGAGCAUUUGGCAAGAUGCUUAGGAAGUCCUAUGGGCGGUAAUUGGAUUAUCACCCUGACAUAACAUGUUCUAUGCUUUUAGGUUCACGUAUGUUUACAAAAAAGGCAGGGGGGCAUGUGUUUACACCCAAAUUUGGCACCUAUGGACGAAAUAGAGGAAAAUUGCCAAAGUUUGGAAAGUGACGGGUUUCCUUCACAGGGCCGGUUAGACCACAGGUGUGUGGGCGGUCUGACCGUCUAGUAGGGCCGGUCUGACCGCAGGUAUGUGGGCGGUCAAACCGUCAGGGUCCGAGUCCGAGUUUGUUUUCGUCGGGUCUCGGGUUUCCUUGCCUGGGAAGGUAGGUUUCGUGUUUCCUUUGGUUUCUAUCCCGAGUUGGAUAUGGAGAAGGGCCUGUAGAGGGUAAGACCAACCCCUAUUUAAGGGACAAGGCCGGUUCAUUGUAAAACCCCCGAAUACAAUUUACUUGAAUCGUUCUUUUACCAUGUUUUCUAUUUUAC
rnacentral:lncRNA from 1 species